rnacentral:lncRNA from 1 species
AAUUGGCCAGAAGAUAGAAUGCAUGCCUGCCAAGUGUUCGAUAUAUUUCCACAACCACAUAUUUAAUUCUUCAAAUGUGUUAAAGACAACAUUCGUCCCAACAAUUGAGGACCCAUCUCUUGAUUCUUGUACUUUGUCCAUUUGGGUGUUGUGGACUCUCAGAUCUAUGGAUGUGGAGUUCUUCCGUUAGAAGAUCAAGGGAUUCUUUUGUAUUCAAUAUACAUAAAUACAUACAUGAAUCCGUACAUAGUAUAUUUGUGUCUGUAUACACGUAUGUGUAUAUAUAUAUAUAUUUGUAGACCAACAUUCUCAUUCUUUAUCUUUUUGUACUCUAAAUUGUAAACCGUGUGUUUGAUGUGCCAACCCCAAUUGGGUAUAUUCUCUGAUGGAUUUAUUGAUGAGUUGAAGAUAGGGACAGAAUUUGGCAUUUGGAUUUUAGAGUGAUGUUUGCAUCUUGAAUGUUCACUGAUACCAACC